AUUGAACGCUGGCGGAAUGCUUUACACAUGCAAGUCGAACGGCAGCACAGACUUUGGUCUGGUGGCGAGUGGCGAACGGGUGAGUAAUACAUCGGAACGUGCCCAAUCGUGGGGGAUAACGUAGCGAAAGCUACGCUAAUACCGCAUACGAUCUAAGGAUGAAAGCGGGGGAUCGCAAGACCUCGCGCGAUUGGAGCGGCCGAUGGCAGAUUAGGUAGUUGGUAGGGUAAAGGCCUACCAAGCCGACGAUCUGUAGCUGGUCUGAGAGGAUGAUCAGCCACACUGGGACUGAGACACGGCCCAGACUCAUACGGGAGGCAGCAGUGGGGAAUUUUGGACAAUGGACGCAAGUCUGAUCCAGCCAUUCCGCGUGCAGGAUGAAGGCCCUCGGGUUGUAAACUGCUUUUGUACAGAACGAAAAGGCUCUGGUUAAUACCUAGGGCUCAUGACGGUACUGUAAGAAUAAGCACCGGCUAACUACGUGCCAGCCGCCGCGGUAA
rnacentral:rRNA from 1 species